AGCGAACGCUGGCGGCAGGCCUAACACAUGCAAGUCGAACGAACCUUUCGGGGUUAGUGGCGGACGGGUGAGUAACACGUGGGAACGUGCCUUUAGGUUCGGAAUAACUCAGGGAAACUUGUGCUAAUACCGAAUGUGCCCUUCGGGGGAAAGAUUUAUCGCCUUUAGAGCGGCCCGCGUCUGAUUAGCUAGUUGGUUGAGGUAAUGGCUCACCAAGGCGACGAUCAGUAGCUGGUCUGAGAGGAUGAUCAGCCACAUUGGGACUGAGACACGGCCUAAACUCCUACGGGAGGCAGCAGUGGGGAAUCUUGCGCAAUGGGCGAAAGCCUGACGCAGCCAUGCCGCGUGAAUGAUGAAGGUCUUAGGAUUGUAAAAUUCUUUCACCGGGGACGAUAAUGACGGUACCCGGAGAAGAAGCCCCGGCUAACUUCGUG
rnacentral:rRNA from 1 species